GACGAACGCUGGCGGCGUGCUUAACACAUGCAAGUCGAGCGAGGUCCAUCCACUCGCAAGAGUGGUGAAGACCUAGCGGCGAACGGGUGAGUAACACGUGAGAAACCUGCCCCGAAGACCGGGAUAACCCUCCGAAAGGAGAGCUAAUACCGGAUACCCUCACCGGACCGCAUGAUCUGGUGAGGAAAUGGAUUCCGCUUCGGGAGGGUCUCGCGGCCUAUCAGCUUGUUGGUGAGGUAACGGCUCACCAAGGCAUCGACGGGUAGCUGGUCUGAGAGGACGAUCAGCCACACUGGGACUGAGACACGGCCCAGACUCCUACGGGAGGCAGCAGUGGGGAAUCUUGCGCAAUGGGCGAAAGCCUGACGCAGCAACGCCGCGGUGGGGGAUGAAGGCUUUCGGGUUCGU
rnacentral:rRNA from 1 species